rnacentral:tRNA from 1 species
UGCGGAUGUGGCGAAAUUGGUAGACGCGCUAGAUUUAGGUCCUAGUAACUUUGGUUUUGAGAGUUCGAGUCUCUCCAUCCGCAU